UGUUGCAAAGGUGCUUCUUGGAGUUGC
rnacentral:piRNA from 1 species